rnacentral:lncRNA from 1 species
ACACACACACAGAGUGAAAAAGGCGAGCCACCAAAACCCAUCUCCAGUCUCCUCCCGGGGGCCCCCAGCCCGCCUCUGUGCCACUUUGCAUCCCACGCCGGAGGAGGCAUUAACGAGACCGGGCUUUUUAAACGGUCCAAGGUGUAGAGCCAUACUUCAGGAGGAUCCUCAGAAGUUUUGGACAAGCCUCCCCAAAUGUGGCAGGUGCUGUGCUGGCCAUUGGUGACCCAAAGAUGAUGAAAAAUAUGUUCCUGCCCACAAGGAGUUAGCGACCUACUGGGGUAUGUACAAUGUUUAUUCUGUUAUUUUUAAUAUGAUGCUUGUGUUAAGCAGUGUGUAGAGAGCUAAUAUGUAAAAAGAAUUUGGCAAAUAAAUUUUGCAAGUAUUUGGCACAAUUUUUCCUUUUACCGAAUGUACUAAUGCCAAAAAAUGUUGGUAAUUUGGAGAUGGUUUCUCAUAUAACCAAAUCAAUAAAAAACAGGUUCAAUUUUUGUAGAUUCUGUAGUAAUAGGGCAGAUUAAAUUUUAAAAAGCCACUGAGACAUGUCUGUACUUCCUACACUUGUGUGUAUUUGAAGGCAAAUGAAAGUAGACUAGAAAUGCCACCAAAGCACAUCACACAUUAGCAACAAUGUACAUUUCUUCUUCACACAUAAAACAUUGACUCUUCUGCUUUUUAUUGGUUACUUUAUUGAUAAUUGCUAUCUUUCAUCUUCUCCUACUUCAUCAGUUCCUCCAAUUGAGCAAAGUCUAUAUUGGGAUAAAAUGUAUCUUUCCUUCCUUAAUUAAUGUUGAUUUUUGCCAAAAUAUGUAUUUUAUUUGAGUCAUAAUAAAAAUUAUAAUAGUUUUUUCUUACAGUAACCAUGCAGGAUGCCUUGAGUAGUCCUGAAGAACUAAAUAUAGUAAAUGC